GUGCCAGCAGCCGCGGUAAUACGUAGGUGGCAAGCGUUAUCCGGAAUUAUUGGGCGUAAAGCGCGCGUAGGCGGUUUUUUAAGUCUGAUGUGAAAGCCCACGGCUCAACCGUGGAGGGUCAUUGGAAACUGGAAAACUUGAGUGCAGAAGAGGAAAGUGGAAUUCCAUGUGUAGCGGUGAAAUGCGCAGAGAUAUGGAGGAACACCAGUGGCGAAGGCGACUUUCUGGUCUGUAACUGACGCUGAUGUGCGAAAGCGUGGGAAUCAAACAGGAUUAGA
rnacentral:rRNA from 1 species